rnacentral:rRNA from 1 species
UGCAGUCGAGCGAACAGACGAGGAGCUUGCUCCUCUGACGUUAGCGGCGGACGGGUGAGUAACACGUGGGUAACCUACCUAUAAGACUGGGAUAACUCCGGGAAACCGGGGCUAAUACCGGAUAACACAUGAAACCGCAUGGUUUCAUGAUGAAAGACGGUUUUGCUGUCACUUAUAGAUGGACCCGCGGCGUAUUAGCUAGUUGGUAAGGUAACGGCUUACCAAGGCAACGAUACGUAGCCGACCUGAGAGGGUGAUCGGCCACACUGGAACUGAGACACGGUCCAGACUCCUACGGGAGGCAGCAGUAGGGAAUCUUCCGCAAUGGGCGAAAGCCUGACGGAGCAACGCCGCGUGAGUGAUGAAGGUCUUCGGAUCGUAAAACUCUGUUAUUAGGGAAGAACAAGGAUGUAAGUAACUGUGCAUCCCUUGACGGUACCUAAUCAGAAAGCCACGGCUAACUACGUGCCAG